rnacentral:rRNA from 1 species
CAGCAGCCGCGGUAAUACGAAGGGGGCUAGCGUUGCUCGGAAUCACUGGGCGUAAAGGGUGCGUAGGCGGGUCUUUAAGUCAGGGGUGAAAUCCUGGAGCUCAACUCCAGAACUGCCUUUGAUACUGAAGAUCUUGAGUUCGGGAGAGGUGAGUGGAACUGCGAGUGUAGAGGUGAAAUUCGUAGAUAUUCGCAAGAACACCAGUGGCGAAGGCGGCUCACUAGCCCGAUACUGACGCUGAGGCACGAAAGCGUGGGGAGCAAACAGGAUUAGAUACCCGCGUAGUCCCUGUCUCUUAUAC